rnacentral:rRNA from 1 species
GGCAACCCUGAUCCAGCCAUGCCGCGUGUGUGAAGAAGGCCUUAGGGUUGUAAAGCACUUUCAGUAGGGAGGAAGGCCCAGUAGUUAAUACCUGCCGGGAUUGACGUUACCUACAGAAGCAGCACCGGCUAACUCCGUGCCAGCAGCCGCGGUAGUACGGAGGGUGCAAGCGUUAAUCGGAAUUACUGGGCGUAAAGCGCGCGUAGGCGGUUUGUUAAGUGAGAUGUGAAAGCCCAGGGCUCAACCUUGGAACUGCAUCUCAUACUGGCAGGCUAGAGUACGGUAUAUGUGGGUAGAAUUCCA